rnacentral:lncRNA from 1 species
GCUGCAGCCCCUACUGCUUCUAUUAUUGCUGCCCUCACUGCAGCCCUUACUGCUGCCAUCACUGCUCCCCUAACUGCUGCCCUCACUGCUCCCUUUACUGUUUCCCUCACUGGCCCCCUUACUGUUGCCUUCAUGGCUUCCCUCAAUGUUGCCCUUACUGCUCUGCUUAUUGCUGCCCUCAAAGCUGCAUCUACUGCACCUCUUACUGCGGCCAUCACGGCUCCCCUUACUGCUGCUCUGACAGCUCCCCCUUCUGCUGUCCUGAUUACUCCCCUUACUGUGUCCCUGAUUUUUCCCUUACUCACUGCUCCUCUUACUGCUGCCCUCACUGCUCCUCUUAUUUCUGCCUUGCUUCCCUCACUGCUGCCUUUAUGGCUGCCCUCAAUGCUGCCCUCUCUGCUCCACUUACUGCUGCCCUCACUGCUCCCCUAACUGCUGCCCUUACUGCCCCCUUUACUGCUGCCCUUCCUGCUUCCCUGAUCUUGUUGCUGCCUCAAUGUUGCCCUAAUUGCUCUGCUUACUGCUGCCCUCAAAGCUGCCUCUACUGCUCCCCUUACUAUUGCCUUCAUUGCUUACCUUGCUGCUGCCCUCAAUGCUACCCUUACUGCUUCCCUCACUGCUCCCUUUACUGCUGCUCUGACUGCUGCCCCUACUGCUGCUCUGAUUGCUCCCCUUAUUUUUGUUCUCAUUGCUUCACUUACUACUGACUCACUGCUGUUCUCACUGCUCUCCUUUCUGCUGCUCUCUCUGCUCGCCUUAUUGCUGCUCUGAUUGCUCACCUUAGUGCUGCCGUCACUGCUCGCUUUACUACUGCUCUCACUGCUUCCCUUUAUGCUGCCCUCAGUGCUCCCCUCACUACUCCCCUUACUGCUGCCCUCACUGCUCCCCUUAGUGCUGCCUCACUGCUGCUCUCACUGCUUCCCAUACUGCUUCCCUCAGUGCACCCCUUAAUGAUGCCCUCACCACAGACCUCACUGUUCACCUUACUGCUGCCCUCAUUGCUCCCCAUUCUGC